UACGUAGGGGGCAAGCGUUGUCCGGAAUCAUUGGGCGUAAAGCGCGUGUAGGCGGCUUGGUAAGUCGGGUGUGAAAUCUUGGAGCUUAACUCCGAAACUGCAUUCGAUACUGCCGUGCUUGAGGACUGGAGAGGAGACUGGAAUUUACGGUGUAGCGGUGAAAUGCGUAGAUAUCGUAAGGAAGACCAGUGGCGAAGGCGGGUCUCUGGACAGUUCCUGACGCUGAGGCACGAAGGCCAGGGGAGCAAACGGG
rnacentral:rRNA from 1 species